rnacentral:rRNA from 1 species
AUGCUCACCGUCAUGCCCUUCUCUCUCACACAUCUCAGUGCCCGCCGUGGUCGGGAGCGUCAAAAAUUGAGGGCAACCCAGCCCGGGAUUACAACGUCCUCCAUGACCAACAACCCCACAGCAGCCCUGCCAUCUAGCUGCGCUUCUUCCCGCGCUAUACCCCGGUGCACCAGCACAGCGGCCCGCUGUUCGCCGCGGCCUUCCCGUUGA